CCGCAGACACAAGUCAACUCGACCCUUCUGGGACCGACGCUCAGCGCCCGAGACCAUCUACAAACUAAAAUGUCUGGUUUGGAGUUUUUUCUAUUCUGUGGGUUCCUAUUAAUCACCCCUGUGAUAUGCUCAGAUUCCACAGAACCACCACAAUAUCUUUGGGGUCCUUGGCACCACCCGCCCACAUUGGCACCUUUUUCGGCGGCCUCGCCCGCCUCACCCAGGGUUUACACCAUCAAUCAAACAGUCCUUGAUUAUGCUAAUUGCCAUGGCUAUCCUAGUAGGGCUUGUGGUUAUUAAAUGCUUGUUAGAUCGCCUCAUACAAACUCAGCAGCAGGUUAAGAUCACAGCUAUGGCAGCCAUGCAAAUGGCAGCAGGUAGCCCAUCAGGCCAGCAGGCCGCCGCAUAUCUCCUUCACAUUGCAGAACAUCAGCUAUAAGAGCUGAGUGGGCAAGCCAAUGACGGGCUCCACUCAGAUAUAUAUGGCCUAUAAGGCCAGGGGUCCCUCCCGGAGUCAAAUUAUUGGCAUUGAGAUGCGAGACCAAGGGUACUGCAGUGCCAUCCGCCUCAAAGUUUGGGGGGAAGGCAGGAAUGAAUGUCUAUAUGCAUCCAGGUUCGGUUCACAAAAGCCUGGCCCUGCGAAAAAAUGAACCACUCACCUUGAGCAUGGUCCUGGCGCAAGGAUAUGCACAAAACAGGGUGAUGCACAGCAGGGUAUAGACCUCUACAUUCUCUCAUGCCUCGGCCUACAAGGUAGGCCCACUCCUAGGUGUCUAACAGCAACAAGGUCAUAGACACCUUGGAGGGACCCACAGACCAUCCUAUUUUAAUAAAUAAAAAAGGGGGAGAUGUGGGAAGCCGCCUAUGAAUGGUGCCCAUUUCCUGCUUCCGGGUUCUUCCCGGCCUGAACAAGCCCGCCAAAUUGUCAUAUCUGCCCAGUUACCCGUGACGCUAGCCUAUCAGCUUGUUAGGCGCGCUUCUCUGUGAUUGGAUACUGCUUCCCCUUAUAAGAGGUUGUUCCUGCCCCCAACGGCGGAAGAGGAACCAACGUUGAGGGUGGCGGACCUUGUCAGGUCCGGUUCGCUGUACGUAAUAAAGUUUGAGAGCUGA